UACGUAGGUGGCGAGCGUUAUCCGGAAUGAUUGGGCGUAAAGGGUGCGUAGGCGGACUUUUAAGUGAGAUGUGAAAUACUCGGGCUCAACUUGAGUGCUGCAUUUCAAACUGGAAGUCUAGAGUGCAGGAGAGGAGAAUGGAAUUCCUAGUGUAGCGGUGUAAUGCGUAGAGAUUAGGAAGAACACCAGUGGCGAAGGCGAUUCUCUGGACUGUAACUGACGCUGAGGCUCGAAAGCGUGGGGAGCAAACAGG
rnacentral:rRNA from 1 species